rnacentral:rRNA from 1 species
AGGGGAGUGAAAAAGAACCUGAAACCGUGUACGUACAAGCAGUGGGAGCCUCUUUUAUGGGGUGACUGCGUACCUUUUGUAUAAUGGGUCAGCGACUUAUAUUCUGUAGCAAGGUUAACCGAAUAGGGGAGCCGAAGGGAAACCGAGUCUUAACUGGGCGUUAAGUUGCAGGGUAUAGACCCGAAACCCGGUGAUCUAGCCAUGGGCAGGUUGAAGGUUGGGUAACACUAACUGGAGGACCGAACCGACUAAUGUUGAAAAAUUAGCGGAUGACUUGUGGCUGGGGGUGAAAGGCCAAUCAAACCGGGAGAUAGCUGGUUCUCCCCGAAAGCUAUUUAGGUAGCGCCUCGUGAAUUCAUCUCCGGGGGUAGAGCACUGUUUCGGCAAGGGGGUCAUCCCGACUUACCAACCCGAUGCAAACUGCGAAUACCGGAGAAUGUUAUCACGGGAGACACACGGCGGGUGCUAACGUCCGUCGUGAAGAGGGAAACAACCCAGACCGCCAGCUAAGGUCCCAAAGUCAUGGUUAAGUGGGAAACGAUGUGGGAAGGCCCAGACAGCCAGGAUGUUGGCUUAGAAGCAGCCAUCAUUUAAAGAAAGCGUAAUAGCUCACUGGUCGAGUCGGCCUGCGCGGAAGAUGUAACGGGGCUAAACCAUGCACCGAAGCUGCGGCAGCGACACUAUGUGUUGUUGGGUAGGGGAGCGUUCUGUAAGCCUGUGAAGGUGUGCUGUGAGGCAUGCUGGAGGUAUCAGAAGUGCGAAUGCUGACAUAAGUAACGAUAAAGCGGGUGAAAAGCCCGCUCGCCGGAAGACCAAGGGUUCCUGUCCAACGUUAAUCGGGGCAGGGUGAGUCGACCCCUA